rnacentral:rRNA from 1 species
CCUACGGGAGGCAGCAGUGAGGAAUCUUGGUCAAUGGACGAGAGUCUGAACCAGCCACGUAGCGUGAAGGAUGACUGCCCUAUGGGUUGUAAACUUCUUUUAUAUGGGAAUAAAACGUUCCACGUGUGGGAUUUUGUAUGUACCAUAUGUAUAAGGAUCGGCUAACUCCGUGCCAGCAGCCGCGGUAAUACGGAGGAUCCGAGCGUUAUCCGGAUUUAUUGGGUUUAAAGGGAGCGUAGGUGGAUUGUUAAGUCAGUUGUGAAAGGUUGCGGCUCAACCGUAAAAUUGCAGUUGAAACUGGCAGGCUUGAGUACAGUAGAGGUGGGCGGAAUUCGUGGUGUAGCGGUGAAAUGCUUAGAGAUAACGAAGAACUCCGAUUGCGAAGGCAGUUCACUGGACUGCAACUGACACUGAGGCUCGAAAGUGUGGGUAUCAAACAGGAUUAGAUACCCUAGUAGUC